rnacentral:lncRNA from 1 species
CCAUUGUCAUAGUAGUUGAGGCAGAGCGACUGCAUAACAUCUACUAACUUCCAACUGGAGGCCAUGGUUUGGGCCAACACUACGUACUUCUUUUGGCUUAGUGCAUCAGCGAGUACGUUUCCUCUACUGGGAUGGUAGAUGAUUUUGAAGUCGUAGUCCUUCAAGAGAUCCAUCCAGUGUCUCUAUCUCAUGUUCAACUCCCU